GUCUGGAAGAGGAAGAGAGAGUCCCUAAGGGCAGUGGGAAUAGGAACAUGGAGGAAAGCCUAGAGCUUUCCAGUAUCGGAGGUAGAGAUUUGCUUUGUGUUUUCCCGAUGCCUCCUAUUCCUAUCGAUCUUAGGUACUCCUUCCACUUCCUUUAGCUU
rnacentral:pre_miRNA from 1 species